rnacentral:lncRNA from 1 species
GCAGGAGGGAGCAAAGCAGGUCCAUCUGUUUGGUCCAUCUGCUCGCAUCUGUUGGUUCACGCUGCCAGCUGUGCAGCUAUGAAGACAGUAGACUGUGGGAAGGAGUACAUUGUCUCCCUACUACGUGCACAUACACGAGCAGACACAAGGCGUCCAUAGGUGAAAGGGAAGUUCCCUUCUAGUCCCCUCCUUUUGUGCCUCCCAUCUGUCCUCAUCCUAGACCAGUAGUUUUCAAUCUUGAUUGCAUGUCAGAAUCACUUGCAAAAUUUUGUAAACAUCCAGAUUCCUUUCAGAACUUGGCAGAGAACUCGUGAUUGGUGUGUCUGGUUUAGGCCUGAUGUGCAGUCUUCUCCCCUCCGCUCCCCUCCUCUCUGCUUCCUUUUUUUGGAGACGGCUCACAAUCCUCCUGUCUCAGCCCCUGGAGCACGGAGAUUAUAGGCAUGUACCACCACACCUGGCAGUGUCUUUUCUAAAGGUGGGUCCAACCCUACCCUGGGUGGAAAACCAUGGUCUAUCAAGGGAUCACAAACACGUGUGCAGGGCCCAGGAAUGUAACAAAAGACUGGGAGCGCAGACAGUGGUAACCUUAAGAGUAUCUGUACCACCUGAUGGCAGUCAGGUUCAAUAAAGGACGGUGCCAGGGAAACCUAGAUAGUUGAUUAAUGGCCCCGGCAACUUCAGUUUUGCUCCUGUGCCCUAGAAGGCAGCCCCUGCCCCAUCCCGAGGCACCUUCAUGUAGGCCGUGCGGGAGCAGCUGCUGCAGUCCUUCCUAGCUCGUUCACCACCACGAAGUACUGGCCACUGUCCUUUGGUGCGCAGGUGGGGGUGACGAUGCUGCACAUGCCGCUGGUGGAGUUGUAGCAGAGCUUGGAGUUGGCCGUGAUGCUGACCUCGCCCUUCUGCAGGGUCACCGUGGGCCUCCAGUUCCCAAGGAAGGCGCAGGUCAUGGUGCAGUCCUGGCUGAGGAGCAGCGUGUGUGGCUUGAGCGGGGUGAGGAAGCGAGGAUGAUUUCUGGAUUGGAGAAAGAAGUGGGGUUAUUUCCCUGGAAUUGUGCCCACCCAUGGAGGUACGUUGUACAUGUGAUCUGAUGUUCUGGUUUUCUUCUGCAAUCACUUUGUCCCGUGGACAUUUACAUGAGCCAUAUGCAGAAUUCCCUAAAG